GUCGAACGAUGAAGCCCUUCGGGGUGGAUUAGUGGCGAACGGGUGAGUAACACGUGGGCAAUCUGCCCUUCACUCUGGGACAAGCCCUGGAAACGGGGUCUAAUACCGGAUAACACUCGCCGAGGCAUCUUGGUGGGUUGAAAGCUCCGGCGGUGAAGGAUGAGCCCGCGGCCUAUCAGCUUGUUGGUGAGGUAGAAGCUCACCAAGGCGACGACGGGUAGCCGGCCUGAGAGGGCGACCGGCCACACUGGGACUGAGACACGGCCCAGACUCCUACGGGAGGCAGCAGUGGGGAAUAUUGCACAAUGGGCGAAAGCCUGAUGCAGCGACGCCGCGUGAGGGAUGACGGCCUUCGGGUUGUAAACCUCUUUCAGCAGGGAAGAAGCGAAAGUGACGGUACCUGCAGAAGAAGCGCCGGCUAACUACGUGCCAGCAGCCGCGGUAAUACGUAGGGCGCAAGCGUUGUCCGGAAUUAUUGGGCGUAAAGAGCUCGUAGGCGGUCUGUCACGUCGGAUGUGAAAGCCCGGGGCUUAACCCCGGGUCUGCAUUCGAUACGGGCAGACUAGAGUGUGGUAGGGGAGAUCGGAAUUCCUGGUGUAGCGGUGAAAUGCGCAGAUAUCAGGAGGAACACCGGUGGCGAAGGCGGAUCUCUGGGCCAUUACUGACGCUGAGGAGCGAAAGCGUGGGGAGCGAACAGGAUUAGAUACCCUGGUAGUCCACGCCGUAAACGGUGGGAACUAGGUGUUGGCGACAUUCCACGUCGUCGGUGCCGCAGCUAACGCAUUAAGUUCCCCGCCUGGGGAGUACGGCCGCAAGGCUAAAACUCAAAGGAAUUGACGGGGGCCCGCACAAGCAGCGGAGCAUGUGGCUUAAUUCGACGCAACGCGAAGAACCUUACCAAGGCUUGACAUCGCCCGGAAAGCAUCAGAGAUGGUGCCCCCCUUGUGGUCGGGUGACAGGUGGUGCAUGGCUGUCGUCAGCUCGUGUCGUGAGAUGUUGGGUUAAGUCCCGCAACGAGCGCAACCCUUGUUCUGUGUUGCCAGCAUGCCCUUCGGGGUGAUGGGGACUCACAGGAGACUGCCGGGGUCAACUCGGAGGAAGGUGGGGACGACGUCAAGUCAUCAUGCCCCUUAUGUCUUGGGCUGCACACGUGCUACAAUGGCAGGUACAAUGAGCUGCGAUGUCGCAAGGCGGAGCGAAUCUCAAAAAGCCUGUCUCAGUUCGGAUUGGGGUCUGCAACUCGACCCCAUGAAGUCGGAGUUGCUAGUAAUCGCAGAUCAGCAUUGCUGCGGUGAAUACGUUCCCGGGCCUUGUACACACCGCCCGUCACAUCACGAAAGUCGGUAACACCCGAAGCCGGUGGCCCAACCCCCU
rnacentral:rRNA from 1 species